rnacentral:rRNA from 1 species
GAUGAACGCUGGCGGCGUGCCUAAUACAUGCCAGUCGAGCGAACAGAUGAGGAGCUUGCUCCUCUGACGUUAGCGGCGGACGGGUGAGUAACACGUGGAUAACCUACCUAUAAGACUGGGAUAACUUCGGGAAACCGGAGCUCAUACCGGAUAAUAUAUUGAACCGCAUGGUUCAAUAGUGAAAGACGGUUUUGCUGUCACUUAUAGAUGGAUCCGCGCCGCAUUAGCUAGUUGGUAAGGUAACGGCUUACCAAGGCAACGAUGCGUAGCCGACCUGAGAGGGUGAUCGGCCACACUGGAACUGAGACACGGUCCAGACUCCUACGGGAGGCAGCAGUAGGGAAUCUUCCGCAAUGGGCGAAAGCCUGACGGAGCAACGCCGCGUGAGUGAUGAAGGUCUUCGGAUCGUAAAACUCUGUUAUUAGGGAAGAACAAAUGUGUAAGUAACUAUGCACGUCUUGACGGUACCUAAUCAGAAAGCCACGGCUAACUACGUG